rnacentral:rRNA from 1 species
UGGGGAAUAUUGCACAAUGGGCGCAAGCCUGAUGCAGCCAUGCCGCGUGUAUGAAGAAGGCCUUCGGGUUGUAAAGUACUUUCAGCGGGGAGGAAGGGAGUAAAGUUAAUACCUUUGCUCAUUGACGUUACCCGCAGAAGAAGCACCGGCUAACUCCGUGCCAGCAGCCGCGGUAAUACGGAGGGUGCAAGCGUUAAUCGGAAUUACUGGGCGUAAAGCGCACGCAGGCGGUUUGUUAAGUCAGAUGUGAAAUCCCCGGGCUCAACCUGGGAACUGCAUCUGAGACUGGCAAGCUUGAGUCUCGUAGAGGGGGGUAGAAUUCCAGGUGUAGCGGUGAAAUGCGUAGAGGUCUGGAGGAAUACCGGUGGCGGAGGCGGCCCCCUGGACAAAGACUGACGCUCAGGUGCGAAAGCGUGGGGAGCAAACAGG